CCUACUUCCUACUUCCUGUAAUUGAGAGUGCUCCACCCUAGUCAGUCCCAACACCCACCAGGAGAAAUCUGAUGACCAACCAAAGGCCUCCAAGGAUCUUCCUUGAUCAGACCUCUGCAAGAGCUGGCCCCAACCAUCCUUCACAAUAGACUGAAGCUGGGACCCUCACUGUUAAAGGAUGAAUAAAAUGACCUCUCUUACUCUUUCUGAAAUGUAUUCUCCAAAUACUAGUCUGGAUUUUUUUUUCCAGAUCCUUUGUUAAACACUUCACAGGUUCCAAAAAUUAUGAAAAGAGCUUUCUGUGCAGUGCUUCAUUUAGUCCUUACCUCAGCCCUGGGACCUAAGAAUUAUUACCCCUUUCUACAGGUCCAGGGAGGGAAAGUGCCUAACCCAGGCCAGCCAGCUCUGGCACACUCACUCUCCUCUAUCGUGACUCACUGACCAUGGCCUUCCCCUCCUCCCAGGAACCUAUAUUGUCUUGUUUCUUGCCUUUGCUGAUUGCCAUCCACACCAUUCAUUCUCCUUGUUCUUCUGCUUCACCCAUCAGAUUUGACAUUCAGCACAUUAUUUCCAGCUGUGCUGUCAACCACUCUGGACAAGAAUCUGAUUUCCUCUGCUACCCUGGCCCACAUACAGGCUUAGGCCUUCUUUCCCUGGGACUCUCCAACUCUGGCCCUGCCUCCUGAGUGACAUUUGCAUCUGGCUUCCCAUGGCCUUGAAAGUUAAAUCUGUCAGCCCUUUCAUGUGGUGUGUGACCUUCAGGAGUAUCUUAACAUC